rnacentral:rRNA from 1 species
UGGGGAAUCUUGCGCAAUGCGCGAAAGCGUGACGCAGCAACGCCGCGUGGGGGAAGAAGGCUUUCGGGUUGUAAACCCCUUUCAGGAGGGACGAAGCCUGGUCGGUGAAUAGCCGAGCCAGGUGACGGUACCUCCAGAAGAAGCCCCGGCUAACUACGUGCCAGCAGCCGCGGUAAGACGAACCGUGCGAACGUUAUUCGGAAUCACUGGGCUUAAAGCGCGUGUAGGCGGGCGGGUACGUCGGCCACUGAAAGCCCCCGGCUCAACCGGGGAAGGGGUGCCGAAACGGCCGGCCUGGAGGGGCGUAGGGGGACCUGGAACUUCCGGUGGAGCGGUGAAAUGCGUUGAGAUCGGAAGGAACGCCCGUGGCGAAAGCGAGGUCCUGGACGCCAGCUGACGCUGAGACGCGAAAGCCAGGGGAGCGAACGG